CCUACGGGAGGCAGCAGUGGGGAAUAUUGCGCAAUGGGCGAAAGCCUGACGCAGCGACGCCGCGUGAGGGAUGAGGGUCUUCGGAUCGUAAACCUCUGUCAGCAGGGAAGAACGGUCCCUGUGCUAAUCAGCAGUGAAUUGACGGUACCUGCAAAGGAAGCACCGGCUAACUCCGUGCCAGCAGCCGCGGUAAUACGGAGGGUGCGAGCGUUAAUCGGAAUUACUGUGCGUAAAGCGCUCGUAGGCGGUAUGUCAAGUCAAGGGUGAAAUCCCCGCGCUCAACGUGGGAACUGCCUUUGAAACUGCAGGGCGGGAGUGCGGGAGGGGCAGGCGGAAGUCCUGGUGUAGCGGUGAAAUGCGUAGAUAUCGGGAGGAACACCGGCGGCGAAGGCGGCCUGCUGGACCGCGACUGACGUUGAGGCUCGAAAGCGUGGGGAGCGAACAGGAUUAGAUACCCUUGUAGUC
rnacentral:rRNA from 1 species